AGGAAUUAGAAGUUACUCCAAACUCACCAAGAACGGAUAGGUCUCGAGUUAAUUUGCCGGAUCUCAAUAUCAAUCCAAACUCACCAAUACGGAGUCUCAAUAUCAAUCUAAACUCACCAAUGGCAGAAUAUGAUGUGGACGAGGAAGAAGGAUUGCAAACAUCUGAAGCAGCAUUGAACUUCAAUAUUGGUACCAUUUAUCCCUUUAUUUCCUAUUUAUAUUAAUCAAAAACACAAGUUUCAUGGAAUAUUUUUUUUUUCAAAUAGAUGAAAUUG
rnacentral:lncRNA from 1 species